UAGGGAAUCUUCGGCAAUGGACGCAAGUCUGACGGAGCAACGCCGCGUGAGUGAAGAAGGAUUUCGGUUCGUAAAACUCUGUUGUUAGAGAAGAACAGCGCAUAGAGUAACUGUUAUGCGUGUGACGGUAUCUAACCAGAAAGCCACGGCUAACUACGUGCCAGCAGCCGCGGUAAUACGUAGGUGGCAAGCGUUGUCCGGAUUUAUUGGGCGUAAAGCGAGCGCAGGCGGUCAAUUAAGUCUGAUGUGAAAGCCCCCGGCUCAACCGGGGAGGGUCAUUGGAAACUGGUUGACUUGAGUGCAGAAGAGGAGAGUGGAAUUCCAUGUGUAGCGGUGAAAUGCGUAGAUAUAUGGAGGAACACCAGUGGCGAAGGCGACUCUCUGGUCUGUAACUGACGCUGAGGCUCGAAAGCGUGGGUAGCAAACAGG
rnacentral:rRNA from 1 species